GGCGUGGAGCAUGUAUGCAGACUGAAGGAAGUUGCAGCCACAAAGUGCCGUUUUGCAGCCUUGGAGCAUAGGAGGUUGUUUUCCGAUGCAUGCUUGGAAGGUGGUCUUCUUCUUUGACUCCUGUGGGUUUUUGGUGAUGGAUAGAGGACGAGCUUGCCGAGCCUUCUUAUUUGGCCGGUCUGUGGUAUCUGGCUGGUGCGCGAUGCUAGAGGAGAUGUGCAGGGAGCAGUAGUCGUCGGACUGCUGUGGGUGGCGCUUGCGGAGGGGAGGGGUGGAUGCGCUGCCACCCGCCACCGCCUGAUGCAGCAACGGAGAGAAGUGUCUUGGAGGGAGUCGUGGCGGCUGGCCUGACUUCCUCUUUCUCUUUUUUAUUUUCUUGAACUGAAGUAGUGAUGUGGUGUCCUGGAAGGUUGAUGUUGUUUGCUUUUUUUCGAUAAAGGGAAUAUAUUAAUAUCAAAAGAUACCAAUUGCACCCAGGCUCUGCAACAAAUGUGAUACCAAUUUUUUGUUGUGGUGUAAUUGUCCACAAAACAACAGAAUCUUUGCCAAAAAUUUGAUCACGGGU